UACGGAGGGUGCAAGCGUUAUCCGGAUUCACUGGGUUUAAAGGGUGCGUAGGCGGGUUGGUAAGUCCGUGGUGAAAUCUCCAAGCUUAACUUGGAAACUGCCGUGGAUACUAUCAAUCUUGAAUGUCGUGGAGGUAAGCGGAAUAUGUCAUGUAGCGGUGAAAUGCUUAGAGAUGACAUAGAACACCAAUUGCGUAGGCAGCUUACUACACGAAUAUUGACGCUGAGGCACGAAAGCGUGGGGAGCAAACAGGAUAGAUACCCUU
rnacentral:rRNA from 1 species